rnacentral:rRNA from 1 species
GCGCCUACGGGGCGCAGCAGUGAGGAAUAUUGGUCAAUGGCCGGGAGGCUGAACCAGCCAAGUCGCGUGAGGGAAGACGGCCCUACGGGUUGUAAACCUCUUUUGUCAGGGAGCAAGGUGCAGGUCGGGACCUGCUGUGAGAGUACCUGAAGAAAAAGCAUCGGCUAACUCCGUGCCAGCAGCCGCGGUAAUACGGAGGAUGCGAGCGUUAUCCGGAUUUAUUGGGUUUAAAGGGUGCGUAGGCGGAAGGUUAAGUCAGCGGUCAAAUGUCGGUGCUCAACACCGGCCUGCCGUUGAAACUGGUC